AGAUGCUGGGCCUGGGACAGCAGAGGGAGGCAGCUGUUGGCACAAGGAUGACGGCAGAGAAAUAUCCUUGAGACAUCAUGCCCACCCACUCAAACUGUCUCUAGAAAUCCCAAAUUCCUUUGAAAGGAGUUAAAACUUUUUUGAAAGGAGCAAGUGUAGGAGGUGAAAAAGGAAGAGAGCUCAUGUGAGGAGAGCUAGAGAACUGGGAAAUCAUUCUAGACUGUGACGUUACAGCAACACACCUGUCAGGACUUGGAGCACUGUAGCCUGGUCUUGUUACCACUGGAGAGCAGAAUCCUGGGCUAGGGCCUUGACUGUUUUCCCCGAAUCCACCAUGGGCUCCAGGCUCCUGUGCUGUGUGGCCCUCUGCUUCCUGGGAGCAGGUUCCCUGGACACAGCAGUUUUCCAGACUCCAAAAUACCUCAUCACGUGGGUGGGAAAUCAGAAGUCCCUAAGUUGUGAACAAAAGCUGAACCAUGAUGCUAUGUACUGGUAUAAGCAGGACUCCAAGCAAUUGCUGAAGAUUAUGUUUUCCUACAAUAAUAAGGCGCUCAUUCUAAAUGAGACAGUUCCAAGUCGUUUCUUACCUGAAUCUCCGGACAAAGCUCAUUUGAAACUUCAUAUCAAUUCGUUGGAGACGGGUGACUCUGCUGUGUAUCUCUGUGCUAGCAGCCAAGACACAGCCCUGCAAAGUCACUGCCUCCCUGUGCACAAACCUGUGGGCCCAGCCAGGAAGCUGUGGGAACAACAUGUUCACCCAACACACCCUGCUGUGGGACCCCUGACUGGAGUUUCAUCUGUAGUAUAG